AUGUCUCUAAAUAUAAACACACAAGGAGAAAAUUUUCUAAAAAAACCCACAUAAAUGAAUAAAAAUGUCUCACCAAAACAGUUUAAUCUUUAAUGAUUUGUUGGGAGCCUCUUUGAGCCCUUUAUAUGCUGCAAAAAAAAAAAUCUUUAGUAUAUCUGUUGACCAUAGUAUUUUUGCAAUAUAAAAAAUUGUGAUAAAAAAAAUACCAUUAUACAACCGCCAUUUGUGUUCAUGUAGAAUGCUGCACUAUAAAUUAAUUCCAAGCAAAAGCUGUUUGAUUAGAAUUCUUCUUUAAAAAAAAAGCAUUCUGAAUUAUAUAUACAGAUAUAUAUAUAAAGAAGAUCCGAUCUUCAAAUGGGUGCUGUAACAUAAGUUUGGUCCCAAAAGAUCUAUAAAACUUUACAACCUUGAUCAGUAAGUGAGAUUCAUUGCAUUGAUGGUAAGAUAUACUGUAUAAUAUAUCUAAAACAAAAACCUUUUAACAAAAAUAAAUGACCUAUAUACAAAGACUAUAACAAAAAGGUUAAACAACAUAAUUAUGAAAUAUUUAUUCAGGACUGUUCCAUGAAACAUACAUGGUACACACAGCAGUCAUAAUUUUUGAAAAUUGGGUAACCAUCUAUACAAGCAACUUUAGAGUAUCUUGUUCAUUUUCACUUUACAAAAUCAUCUUUUAAAAUCCAUAUAUGAUCUGAAGUUUCAAAGGGCUUUCCGUUAGUACCAUGUAUGUUUUUAUGGAAAAGACUGAACUAAUGACCCUGUGAUAAGUUUAAUACUAAAUAUAACUACUCUAAGACACAGCAAAUGUAUUAAGUUUUCCUUUAAAGUUAUCCGUCUUUCUUAUUAAAAAAAUAACUAUCUGUUCUAAUAUUCCAGAAGCAACAUUCUCAAUUCCAGAAGCAAUAUUCUCAAUUCCAGAAGCAAUAUUCUCAAUUCCAGAAGCAAUAUUCUCAAUUCAAGAAGCAAUAUUCUCAAUUCAAGAAGCAAUAUUUCUUCCAUAAGCAGACUAACAUUUGAAGUGAAGCAUGCCAAAAAAAAAACUUUUGUCUGAACAAAGAUAGUUUUUACUAUAAUUGAAAUUGGAACUUGUGAGAAUUGCAUUUGUCUCUUUAGCUGUAUUGAACUUUGGACUGAUAAUACAUCUUAUAUGAAAAAUGCCAUGUUAUGAUCUUUUUAUCAUAUGCAUCAAAAAUGGAGGAAAAUGACAGUUUAAUAUAUUGAUCAUUUUUAAUGGUUCUAACAUAGAAGUUAAAAAGUGAAAAGUUUAUGGACAUUGGAUGCCAAAUGAAGUUUACUUUACAGAUGUUUUACGCAUAAGAAGCCAUUAAUACAGAGAAAUUUUGAGCAACAUCAUUACAUGUUGUAAUACCAAACACCACAAUUAAAAAAUACAUAAAAAAAAUUCUAAAAAAAAUUAUUAACAAUAUGGCUGUAAUAUUAUGACAAAA
rnacentral:lncRNA from 1 species